AAAGAGUGAGACCACCAGCAGAGCCAAGCCGCAAAAGCUGACCACAACAGCGAGGAGACUGACCGAUAUGUCUGCAGGGGAAAUAUAAGAAAUCAGCCUGGGGUCAUCCUGGCACAUGAGGACACAGAAGAGUGGAGGAUGCACAUCAUUACUUACAGUGUAUGCAGGGCUUUCCUCAACAAUAAGCCUCUUCUUAGAAUUGUCGGGCCAGUGUGAAGAGGAGGGAGAAGACUCACAGGAAAGCACUCACAGGAGCAGAAGCAGCAGGUCGUAUCUUGGACUACAUCAGAAUCGCGGAAGAGCAUAGAAGAGUAAAGUUGAAUUUAAUGAUUAAAAUAGUUAAUGAGGGCAGUAGUUGGGGAGUAAUUAUUUCAAUAAAGGAAUUUCAGACAUGGCUAUUUAUUUUGUGGAUUUCAUUUCUUGCAGUGGUAGUAAUGGGUGGAUCUUUACAGACGCUCCCAUAACUAUGACUGGGUCUUCUUGUCAGUCAGCGUUUUUUUUUUUUUUUUUACCAUAGUGCUGACAGUAAAGACUCCACCAUUACCCCGGUAUUUGAAGCCCCAAGGGUGCUGGGAAGAGCUGGGUUGCCAUCAAUGGUGAAACCAUUUUAUUAGAUGGUUCUGCUCUUGUGGCGGCUGCAAGCUGUUAUUACUAGGCUGAGAAGAAGCCAAAAAAUUUGGACCUUCUCACCCUGAUAAUGGCAGCCCACAGCUGUUGGUUAAAUCUGGGCUGGUUAUAGAAAAAGGGGGGACCCCUCGUUUUUUCAAAUUUUGUUGGAAAUUUAGGACUGGGGCCCGUCGUUUUAUCAUAACCUGUCAUGGAUUAUCCAAGUGAUGCAAAUCCAGCUUUUUAACUGCAAACUCGGACGGUUUGGACACCAGGGUAAUGGAGGUUGGGUUUAUUAUUGCACUCGGUUGGAUCUACACGGCCUGCUGACUAUUGCAACGUGUAUUAUUCAUGGUUGCCUCUAUUACAUCUAGAUGCCUCCAUCACUGCAAACUGCAGGUCAAUUCAGAACUGCAGUUUGCGGCUUUACCUGCGGUUUGUGGCGGCGAUCAGUGUUGCCAUCUGGUCCCCAUGCGGCUGUAGGGGGGACCCAAUGGCAUGGAAGGCAGCGCGAUGCCUUCCUGUGACGUGCCUGUGAGAUCCAGCCCCCUGGAUCUCACAGGCCGAAAGCUGCAUGAGUGAUACAGCUGUAGCUCUAUUUUCCUUUCCUUCUGCGCCCUGCCGUGUGCCCAUAGACCGGUUUACGACCAC